UACGAAGGGGGCUAGCGUUGCUCGGAAUCACUGGGCGUAAAGGGUGCGUAGGCGGGUCUUUUAAGUCAGGGGUGAAAUCCUGGAACUCAACUCCAGAACUGCCUUUGAUACUGAGGAUCUUGAGUUCGGGAGAGGUGAGUGGAACUGCGAGUGUAGAGGUGAAAUUCGUAGAUAUUCGCAAGAACACCAGUGGCGAAGGCGGCUCACUGGCCCGAUACUGACGCUGAGGCACGAAAGCGUGGGGAGCAAACAGG
rnacentral:rRNA from 1 species